ensembl:lncRNA
CAUGGGAUAGCCGGAAGCACUAGACACACAAGCUGCUGUGGGAUAUUUGGUUCAUCUCAAGCCAUUUUUAUGUAUUUUUAAAAAUCUAAGCUCUAUUCAUCUGAUCCUGAUUUUUGUUUAUCCUCAGUUAUCUAUGCACUUAGGAAUGCUUUAAUUUGUGAAAUGCCUGAGUAAAUGUGGCCUGAAGGAAGAGUCUAUUAAGAGUUUUCACUGUGGGUCCCUAAGUCAGCACAUGCUAUACCCGUGCCCUCUAGGAGCUGCUGAUAUUCUUUCAUCAUCUCCAGAUGGAUGACCCCAAAGGACUGCUGUAACACGGUACCACAAACUGGCACUUAAAACAACAGAGAUGUAUUAUUCCACAGUGCUGGCAGGGCUAAGCCCCCUCCAGAGCCUCUAGGGUAGAAUCCUUCCUCGUUCCUUCCAGCUUCUGGCAGCCACAGGUGCCCCUAGGCUUGUGGAUACAUUAUUCCAGUCUUUGCCUCUCUUGUUACAUGACAUUCCUGGGUCUCUGUGCCUUCACAUUUACCCCCUCUUUUUAUAAGAUCACCAGUCAUAUUGGAUUAAGGGCCUACCCUACUGAAGAAUGACCUCAUUUUAACCUGGUUACAUCUACAAAGACUGUUUCCAGAAAGAUCACAGUGACAGGUACUGGGGUUCUUUCAAGGGGGACACAAUUCAACCUCUAACACUAUAUCUUGUGUUUGUGAUACUGCUCUAGUGUGAUUGACUCAGGCCAGUCCCUCAGAGAAAUGCAGAAGUAGGUGGAAUUAUGGUACUGAAGAUGAGUGAGUCUCUUGGCAUUUAGAAUGACUGCUCUUUUUACCAGCUCCUUCAUAAAACGGUUGUCUUUUCAUGAUGAUGUGGAUUUUCUCAUACUGGAAGGUCCACAUGAUGAUGUUAUUUCAACUGGUGCAGCAGGAUAUGACAACAGUAAUGCUGCAAUGCGAUGCAAAUAUCAACAACCACAAAAUCAGGAGGCUGAGCAGAUGAUAUGACUGAACUAGCUCCAACAAUCAGCAAAUGAUUGAUGUGUGAAGCACAGCUUUUCAGAACAGCUGCUUCACUGAGAAUUGGUUUUAGUGAAUCACCACUGCAGCUGCCAUUUUUCUCUGAGCCAGAUAAAUCCUGACAUGAACAAGGUGCUGGUAUAGGAGGUGUAAAUUCAGCUAGUAAUAAAUGUCACUGGCCCUCAGUAUGAGACAUGUAGUCAUUCUCAAAUUCAAGGAAGGGAAGGAGAUCAUUUUGAUGUGAAAUAUGUUUUUGUUGAGUUUUGCCUUUUUAAAAAAAAUCCUGUUCAUAAUCUUCUUGCCUGGAGUUUAAUGUUUUAAAGUGAAGCUUAUUUAAAUAGGUGAAUUCAUCUUCUAAAAAACAAAUGUAUUUAAUAUAAAGAAUUUAGUGUAUCUAAUAAAAAUAAUAACUGAGAAAAAGCAUCUAGGGUAGUAAGCAAAAGUCUAGGGAAAAACAUGUCUUGUACAAAGGUGUAUUAAGACUUCUGUGUAUUCUCAUUUUGUGCUUUAAUAGCAUCAACAGUUUUUAAAUUCAGCUGUGAGUGUUGGGCUACAGGGUGAGAGUAGUCUAUACAGCCUAAUGCAGUGACCUGCUAUAAAUAUCUCUCCCGUUCUAGACAGAUCAUGAAUUAGAAAAGUGAAGGUUUUUUUUAGUUGACCCAUAUACCUGGAAUUAAAAAAAAAAAUCCUCAAAAUUGUGACACAGCAAUAGCAGUGACAAAGAGAAACAAGGUUAGGCUGCCUCCCUUCGUAAAAGAUAAGUAGGAAAACCAGAAAUGGGCAUUUCAGCCCAGGCCCCCUUAUUGAUGAACGAAAUAUGAAAUCUUAAACUGUGUCAGUUUACUUUUCAGAGAUUGUUCUUACUGAUAGUCCCCAAGAGUCACUCUCUGAAAUACCCUUUAAGAAUGAAUUUAUCUCCAAAUGCUUUUUCAGAUUUUUUUCCUAAUGUUUUUCUAAAAUCUGAAACAAACAAUUCUGAAUUUUAUUUAGAUGGAAACAUCUAAAUUUGUAGAUUGUUAAGUAGUUAGCAAAGAUAUAUGCUCCAAAUAAGAUUUCUCUAAAACAUUUUUUUCUACAUGUGUUUUUCCUAAACUUGUAGGAUGAAGAAAUAGCAAUGACUGAGAAUAUUAGGAUAAAGUAGAUUAAAGAGGGAAAACUUCGGGCCCAAGAAAUAACCAGAUCAAAGACAAAUAGGACCAAAAUCACACACAAUUCAUACAGGGUUAGUUUUGAAAGGAACAGGAGGUCAGAAAGGGGAAAAAUUUUGUCUAUAAAUCUCUUUUAUAAAGAAAAAAAUCAGGAGUUCCCUUUGUGGCUUAGUGGUUAACGAAUCUGACUAGAAACCAUGAGGUUGCGGGUUCAAUCCCUGACCUUGCUCAGUGGGUUAAGGAUCUGGCGUUGCCGUGAGCUGUGGUGUUAAGUCGCAAACGCAGCCUGGAUCCCACGUUGCUGUGGCUGUGGCAUAGGCCGGUGGCUACAGCUCCGAUUCAACCCCUAGCCUGGGAACCUCCAUAUGCCGUGGGAAGUGGCCCCAGAAAAGGCAAAAAGAAAAAAAAAAGUCAAAAUGCAUGUGAAAGUUUCACAGGCCUUUUCUGGCCCUCUGUUGGUAAUUGGUUAUUUAGAGGCAGUUUGGUUUUACAUGAAUCUGAGUUUAUACUCCUUCGCCCCCAAUAAAGUAAUGGCCUGUGAUCUUGUGCUACUCAUUAAUAACCUCCUAAAGUGCAUUUUCUCCCUUGAUACAAAGAAUAUCCUAAUAAUAAUGACUAUUGUUUAUUAAGAACUUACUAUUUAUUAGGUGUUUCUACUAAGUACUUUUCAAACAUUGUCUCAUUUAAUCUUCCUAAGAUUCUGUGAGGCAGAAGUUUUAUUUACACAUUAUAAAUAAGAAAAGUUGGGCUCAAGUAGUCCAGGUUACAGCUUUUAUGUUCUAGAGCCAGUCCGGCUCCAAAGCUCGUGUGCCUAACAUAAUCCUGUCUUUAGUGUUAGGAUCUCUCCCAGCUUUAGCCUUCUCUGACUAAAUUUCAUGAUAUCUGAAUUUCUCUGCAUGGUGUUCCCACCACUGACACUGCCUUUCUGCCAGAGUCAGAAAGGUUAACCUUGCAAAAGCCCCUAAAGCUCCCACAGGUUAUCUGUACAGAUAUGGAAACUAAAAUCCAGAAAGUUUACUAAAUUGUGAGAGGUCAUUAUGUCCAUUUCAUAGGAGCAACUUGCCUCAUCCCAAAGAGCACGAAAUCUAUUUUUUAAAUGAUUUUUUUUUAAAAUUGGGGAUCUACAAUGGUUUUUGUAUUCCUUCCCCACCUCUCCCCUCUGCUACUCUAGAAGCCUGUCUAGUCACUUCUGGUAGAUUUGCAAGAUGACAGCACAUUUAAUGCUAGUCCUGACCUGCCUUCAAGGAUAUUGCUGUGCGUUUUAAAAAACAGAUCAGGUUCCUUUGAAUAGGUUACUGAUCUUAUCAAGGUGGGGAUGGAUCAUCUGAUGUUAAAGUAUAACGCUAAUAGGAUGACUCAUAAAAACCACUUUAAAAAAAAAAAUAGGUGGGGUAUCCAAAGUGACCUCUAGAGUAGAAUUCAUCAGCUUUGCUUUACCAUGUGUUUACUCUUUGCUGCUCCUGGUGGGUUGACUUAGUCAAGCACCACUGCUAUUAUUGAGUCAGUAUGACUUUGUGGGUUCAAAUUUUUUUUUUUUUUUUUUGCUUUUUUAGGGCCUGAACCUAGGGUGGGGAUUGAAUUGGAGCUGCAGUUGCUGGCCUAUGCCACAGCCACAGCCACAGCUGCAUUGGAUCCAAGCCAUGUCUGUGACCUACACCACAGCUCACGACAAUGCUGGAUCCCCAACUCACUGAGCAAGGCCAGGGAUCAAACCCUUGUCCUCAUGGAUACUAGUCAGAUUUGUUUCUGCUGUGCCACAAUGGGAACUCCCUGGGUACAAAUCUUGACACUGCUUGGCAAUGACUCAGUUAUAACCUCGGGAUCCCUCAGAUAUCUGAUGGUAUUAAUAUUUCCUUCUGAGGGUUUUUGUAUUCAGUGAGAUAAUGUUUACAAUGUAGCUGGAAAGUUAUGGGCAGUCAGCGGUUGUUUGCUCCCUUUCUUCCCAAAGAAUUGGUAUAUUCACUUUAAUAUAUAACAGAGUUUCAUCAGCUUUCUUUUGUGAACAUAGAUAUUUGAAUGCCUAAUCUAAAUCUAUUAGUGUGAAUAUUACAACAUUUGGUUUAGUACUUAACAUUUUAGCUGUUUUAUUAUUAACAUCAAAAUUACUUUGUUAACUGUAAUGCCUAUAAGUUUUCUCUUUAGCCCCAGGUCUACCUAUUAAAGUGUUGUAAGUCAUAUGGAACACAGGUGAGGCCUUUGAGCUCAAUUCCUGUUGUUUGAAGAUUGUAAUAUAGGCAAGAAAGUAAUACAGGCUAAGAAGUUUAAUAUUGUUGGAAAAAUGUAAAAGGUACUUUCUUUAUGGAAACUGAAGAAACGUUAUGAAACCAUGGUGGUUGAUAAUGAGUAUGUGUGUAGUGCUUUGAUGCCGUGGUUUUUACAUGACUAGUAAAACAGUGAAGAAAGGGGCUUUCCAGAAUGAUCAGAGUGGCUUUCAGAGUAUGUGUUAAUACCAGGAAUUUCUAUAUAAGCCAUCCCUGAGGAGAUGAAAGGCAAAGAUAAGAGUGAAGCUAGACAGUUGUCCAUGCUGAACACUAGGUACCAAAACAAUCCUCUCUCUUGCUCCCACCCCAACACACGCUUGCUCUUCCCUUAUACCAACUCAAAAUUUUUAAAAAGCUGUCUUACCCCCAACCUAAUUUGAUGGUGUACAGUAACCUUUGUUUAGGUAUUUUGCAGCCAUUUAAAAAGGAGAGAUCAUUUGGGGGCAGGCCCUCCCACCCUGAUAUACUUGGAGGAAUGAAUAGUAAUGUCUGGUCAUUAUGUAAAAAAAGGGGGUGUGUGGAAUCCCCAAAUUCAAUCCAUUAUUAAGAAUUUAAAAGAUUAUGAAAUUCAAGUAUAAUGCUAGGAACAACAAGGACAAAAACUAUCCUCCAAACACUUUGCAGACCAUGGAUAAUGCAAUCACUAUGUGAAGAGGAAAAGAUUGCUAACAGGCCUCUCUUCAAAGGAGAAGAGAGGAAUAUCAAUUUCUCAUACAAAGUGAAUUAGCGUGAUUGGUUUCAAUGAAAAUGUACUGGUAAAGAAUCCUCGAAUUCUCCCUGAUGUCCCUUGGGUAGCUGAAAUGUAUGUUCUGCAGGCUAAAGUAGAGAGAAAAUAAUCUUAAGAAAAAACUCAUUUGGUGAGCUUCAUCAAUCUGAUGUGGACCGUGGAAUGAAAAACAGAAAUCUUUGGUCUGACUCCUCUUUGGGAAAUACCUUUCUGGUUGGAUGGCUGAGGCCAGGUGGGGAAGGACUGUUUAAGGAUAUGGUACAACAGCAUUGCCCGAAUAUUUUGGAAUACUGGUGACCAUCCAGUAAUUGGAAUGCAUCUGGUGAGUGAUACAUUGCAUUCCCAAACUCUUGCUUCUUAUAAAGAGGAAUUGACUUCCAUGGUGCCAUCCUUAGUUUAACUUUAAACGUGAAAUUUAGAUCUAGUGUAUCUUUAAACGUAUGUUAAUGAAAGUUGGCGAGGAGGCUUCUGUUUCGUUUUGUCCUUUCCACUUAUAAACAUCAACCUCCUGGAAAGGAUGAGGGCAGUAGCAAAACACUUCUGCUUCCAUUUCCCUUUAUUCAUUUUGUUUCAGUACUUCCUCUGUCGUGAAAAUUAAAAAAGGAAAGAAGGAUAUAAGUACUUAUGGUUUAUUCUUUGGUCUCUUGGAAUUCUGGAAGUUUAAGUUGAAACUAAAGCAUGAUUGAGAACUAACUUGUUCAAAACACUGAUGAAUGCUUUCUAUUUAAAGAAAAGAUUGCUUUAACUUUUCAUGAUAUCUUUAAGUAGAUUUAAGAAGUUUAGACCACAUCAAAUUCCUUUUGAAUUUGUUUGCCACCUUAAAGUUAAUUCUAUUGUUCCAUAUUUUCAAUCAUUACCCUUCUCUUAUGAAGAUAAUAAUGUUCUUUUUUAUCUUUUGCUGAUUUCUGCUUCUGCCUCCUGUGAGAACAAGCUUUUAUUCAUUGGUACACUCUGAUCUCUCAUAGCCUGAGAUUCUAUCAAUUUUUAUCUUUUAAACUCUAUAUACUAUACAUAUUACUGAUAUUUCUUUUCUUUUUUCUUUUGCUUUUUAGGGCUGCACCUGGGGCGUAUGGAAGUUCACAGCCUAGGGGUCGAAUCAGAGCUAGAGCUGCUGGCCUACACCACAGCCACAGCCAUAGCGACUCGGAAUCCGAGCUGCAUGUGCGACCUACACUACAGCUCAUGCCAGAUCCUUAACCCACUGAAUGAGACCAGGGAUUGAACUUGCAUCCUUAUGGAUACUAGUCGAGUUCAUUACCACUGACCCACAACAGGAACUUCCUGAAAUUUCCAUUUUUAAUUUCUCUUCUCUGAGUUCCAGGCCCAUAUCGCAGUUACUUACCAGGCUGUCCCCUCGGCAAUAUUACCAGCAUCUCAACUUACUAUUUCUCCUUCUCAUCUACUAUUUUGUUAGUCUUUUCAUUAUCAAAUUCCCUAAACAUAAAACCUUCAAAUUGUUUCUAGCUCAUUGUACAGCCCAGGAAGGUGACACAGAGGUAGUAAUGGCUUGACCAUAUUAGGGCUUUGUCAUCCCCCAGGUAUUGUCCUUGUCCAUAUGGUGAAUGAUGGCUCACUGCCACAGAUACAGUCUAUUUUCAGAAAGGGGAAAAGAGGAGGGAGGGACCACACUCCUCUUCCUUUUAGGGUAUAAUCUAGAAAUGGCUAUAUCACUUUUGCUCAUAGCUCAUGUUUAAAUGACAAGAUCCAGUUGCAUGGCCAUAGCUAGCAGCAUGGAUGGCUUGGUAAUGUGUUCCUUAGCUAUGCACUCACCUAAGCUUUCUAUUUCUUAGAGAAGAAGGCAAGAAGAGCUGUGGGGAGCCAACCAGAGGUCUCUGCCACAUCUUCCUUAGUCUAAUUUUACUGUCUUGCCCCUUGGUGGGCCUUUAUUUCCAAAGCUAAGAUUACUUCUAGAGACUUACAGCUGGAUUUACUGUUUGCUCACUAUCAACCCACUUGUUCUUACCUUUAAACAACCACUUAUUUUUUCUUCCUAAGCCUCAAUUUAUUAGUGCACAGCAUAAAGUCUCUGUUUCAAAGCUCACUUUGUGGAGAAAAAAACAUCCUCAUGAAUUGUCCAUGCCCUCUCAUGUCAUAAUGAUUCAUCUUUUGAUGGUUGUUUUCAUCUUUGUAAUGCCUGAGAGAUUAAAUGCAUCUUAAGAACAGCCUUUUAAAACUAUGUCUUGCAGUUGAAGUGGUCAAUUUGCUUUUAGAAAUCAGAUGACAUUCACCUGACAAUUUGAAUGUUCAUGCCUUUAUACAUUUAAGAACUGUUAUUUGUCUUAAAAAAAAUAGAAAAUAAUGCUCCUUGAAGCAGCUAUCUAGUAGCUCACUGAAAUUAUAAAAUAGCUUAGUGAAAACAUGGACUAAGUAUUACUCCACGUGUUAUGGUUCUCUAGUUGCUUAUUUGUUCCCAAACAGCUUAACUUCAUCUUCAGCCCUACAGGCUGAGGUGUGAUGGUCUUUAUUGCAGAACACACCUUAACUAGGCUUUGUUCCUCAAACUGUAUUUCCUUCUCCUACAAUCAUAGGCAUUAUAGAGGCAGACAUUUCCUUAAAAUAACUAUCCAGACAUUAUGUUUAUAUUUGGAUUUCAUUUUUUUUCAGAAAAGUUUCUGGACCAGGUCUAGGGCUAGGGUGAAGUAUGUGAGCCCAAGCUGUGCAAGUGCAGGGUCAAAUCUUUACUUAAAAUUUUGGUAUUUUUCAUCAUGAAUUUUUGGCACUAAUUUUGAUUUUUUUUAAAUGGUGCAUUAAAAUAUUAUUGAUCUUGAUUUCUGCGGUUUGGGGGAUCCUCAGAAGAUCUUGUGUCUGAGGUGCACUGGAUCCUUCUUUAUGCAAACUUUUGCAUGUUGACCUGGCUGACUGCUUGAGUCAUGAAAACUUUCAAGUUAGAAAAUAUAUAUUUCAAGGAGAAAAUAAGUAUUUAUUAUUUUGCUAGACUCUAGAGGCAAAAAUUACUUUAAAUCUUACCAGAUCAUACCUUAAAUAUUUAUAUUUGCAAAUAAGAUCAGUUUAGAAUGUGCAAGGAAGCCAGUCCAUGAAAACAAGGCAGAGCAGUUCCUGUCAUGGCUCAGUGGGUUACGAACCUGAGUGGUAUCCACGAGGAUGUGGGUUUGGUCUCGCUCACUGGGUUAAGGAUCCAGCAUUGCAGUGAGCUAUGGUGCAGUGAGCUAUGGUGACGUGGCUUGGAUCCCGCAUUACUGUGGCUGUAGUGUAGGCUGGCAGCUACAGUUCCCAUUCGACCCCUUGCCUGGGAACUUCCAUUUGCUGCAGGUACGGCCCUAAAAAUUAAAAAAAAAAAAAA